GAUAGCUCAAUCAGUAGAGCAUAAGACAGAAUCUAAGGGUUGUGGGUUCAAGCCCCACAAGCCCCU